rnacentral:snoRNA from 1 species
GGCCUCCUGGUGUUACCACAGGCUGUGUGCUUGCACUGACUGUAUAGAAAAAAGGAGCAGAGUGAGCCCACCCAGAUACCCCUCAGCCCAGGCCUUGUGCCAGGUCUGAAUUGUGAAUGGGGGGACAUGG